UACGUAGGGGGCAAGCGUUGUCCGGAAUCAUUGGGCGUAAAGCGCGGGCAGGCGGCCCGCUCAGUCGGCCGUGAAAGCGCCGGGCUCAACUCGGCGCGGUCGGGCGAUACUGGCGGGCUGGAGGCUGGUAGAGGGCGGUGGAAUUCCGGGUGUAGUGGUGGAAUGCGUAGAGCUCCGGAGGAACACCAGUGGCGAAGGCGGCCGCCUGG
rnacentral:rRNA from 1 species